CCUUCCCUCCAUUGCCUGUCCUGUAUUUGGCACAAGGAUGGUGCCGUUACAGGAUCAGUGUUUGUGAGACUUUGUCAUGGUCAGUCUGUGUCCCUGGACAGCCAAGUUCCAGAGUAGUUGCUGCCUUAUCUCUCUUUUCCGGUCUGGAGAACUAACAGAUUUGAGAGAACUACAAAGAAAGGUUGGGGGCUAAAUGGCUCAAAAUUGAGAACUGUUGAUCCCAAGCAAGUAGACAGAGGCAUGUGAAGGAGCUGAGGCCAUCUGCUGCAGACAAGCUUGAAGCGUGUGAGUUAGUGCUGUGGGAGACAAAGGGCCUUGCUACCUGGCAAUCAGCAAGGGAACCUUGACUAGUACACACAUUUCAGAGCUGGGAGCAUGGAGCGGAACCCAUACAGAUGGAAUCAGUUGUCUUCCUUCUCACCAACCCACUAGUCUGCACACAGACACACAGCCGGGGUCAGCCGUGCGACCCUGGCCACAGCAUCCAUCUGGCAGUGGGCAAGCAUCUCGCACCCAGAUGGGGCACUUCUCAAGGAUGGAUUGUUCUUAGGGAUCUUUCUGCAGAAACCGAAGGAGAGGAACCUCUUUUCUCGUCUGACAGCAGCUGUACUAUCAUGACUUGCAAAUACCCGGAUGCCGUGCUCCAGCCAUGCAGAGAAACCUGAGGGCGUAGUAUUUCCAGAAAAGCCUUUGGAGCUGCAGAGCUCCAUCUGUGUCCCAAUCACUAGCCACUCCUCUGUCCACCCAUGCAUGAAGACAGAUCACCCUUGUGGUUAGGUUACAGGAACCAAAGUUUCAUCAUUUGCUGUUUGAGGUCAUUCAGUCUGUGUUUCUGUCAAGGUGAAGAGAAUCUGACAAAUAGAGAUGUACAGGAAAGCAAGGCAUGGGCACUGCCCUCAGAGAACUUAUAAUCCAUAGAGAAAGCUAGGAACAGCCCGUGCACCUUGUGGUAGUCAUGAAGAAAGAUUCCUGGGGAAACCUUUUCUCACAGCUGCCAUGAAGUAAAGAGGCUUCUUCUGCUACCAGUUCCUGCCUGAUGUACUAUGCUACCUGUAAUGGUUGAUACAUUGUGUCAACUUGAGAAGUCUAGAAGCUUAACUAAGUAACUCAGCAGUCUAUAUCCUAGGGUGUAGAAGACAUGCCCUCAAGGCUCUGGGAUGUUGUUGUGUCAAUUUAGGAAGUUGAGAAGUUUAAGUGACUCAGCAGAGGGCCAGGGUCCUCAUUUUGUAAACAUCCAGAGCCUGUGCAAGAGGAGGGCACAGAGAUGGUGUGAUUAGUACUCCCACCCUGGGGGUGAUAGCCUGGAUACAAUAUAAGGGAGGAAAAGAAGCUUGCUUGUCCCCCACCUUUUG